AUUGAACGCUGGCGGCAGGCCUAACACGUGCAAGUCGAGCGGUAGCACAGAGAGCUUGCUCUCGGGUGACGAGCGGCGGACGGGUGAGUAAUGUCUGGGAAACUGCCUGAUGGAGGGGGAUAACUACUGGAAACGGUAGCUAAUACCGCAUAACGUCGCAAGACCAAAGAGGGGGACAUUCGGGCCUCUUGCCAUCAGAUGUGCCCAGAUGGGAUUAGCUAGUAGGUGGGGUAACGGCUCACCUAGGCGACGAUCCCUAGCUGGUCUGAGAGGAUGACCAGCCACACUGGAACUGAGACACGGUCCAGACUCCUACGGGAGGCAGCAGUGGGGAAUAUUGCACAAUGGGCGCAAGCCUGAUGCAGCCAUGCCGCGUGUAUGAAGAAGGCCUUCUGGUUGUAAAGUACUUUCAGCGGGGAGGAAGGCGAUAAGGUUAAUAACCUUGUCGAUUGACGUUACCCGCAGAAGAAGCACCGGCUAACUCCGUGCCAGCAGCCGCCGCAGUAA
rnacentral:rRNA from 1 species